CUCCCACCCCAAAUAAUGAGGAGUCAAUCAGUAAAGAUCAAAGUGACAGUGGGUGCUUGGGACCUCAAUCCUCUGGCUAAUGGCAAGCCUUUGGAGAGGAGCUCCAAGGAGUCCCUUGAUGUUCAUUCGGGACCAUGGAAUAAGACGCUCAGGAGAACAGCAACAGAUGAUGACAAGAGGUCACAGUCU